rnacentral:lncRNA from 13 species
AUGGAGCUCGCAGACAAUAUUUUCAAAGAGUGCAUUUCCAAAGACUGGAAGGAUCACCAGCACAACUGCUGCCAGACCGGUGGGGCUGUGGCUGUCCAGGAGGAUGUGUCCAUGUCAACCAUAGACACUCACAGACAACCAAACAGACUCUGUAAAAAAAAAAGCAAAGCUCUCCUUUCAACACCGCAGCGACUUGAACAUGGCUUCUGAUCCUGACCUCAGCAAGUUGUAACGUAAGUGCUGGUGCUUCUUUUCGAAUGCAUGGACGGUAGUCGCUAGACUUUGUCAUGCCCCCAGAACAUGUAGAGUAUUUUAUGACAGCUGGGAUAUUUUUUUAAAUUUUAUUUACACCAAACUGAAGUGUUGCUGAAUGAUAUUACAUUUGUCUUCUGUCUGAAAAAAUAACGUUUGAAACCCCUAAAAACACUCCAUUACACCAAUGGGACUCUUUCCUCUUCAGAUGAUCAAAGGUAAGUAUUUGAAGAGCAGUGUUAGCCUCCCUCAACAGACUUUGGUCUCUGGUUCGAUUUAUAUAUUGUCAUGGAAACCUACAGAUAUUGAAUGACUGCUUAUGUUUCAUGUGUAGUUUACUACCCCUGUGAACCAGAUUUAAAAAACCCACAGAAUACCUGUUUCUGAAAAAUAAUAUUGCUCUAUUUGUCCCCAUUUACUUCAAUUCUAUAUUUUCUACGUUUUUUAAAAUGUAUGUAUUAUGUUGGCUCUGUUCUGCAGUAAAUGGAACAGGAAAGGUAGGUAUGCUACAAUAGGUCUGAAAAUAACCUAUGAGAAUGAAAUAAUACACCAAAUGACCUUGUCAAUUGUCCUCUUGCUUGUUCCCAGUGAUUGCCUGCUGUGAGAGAUUGAGUGAUGUAAUGACCUAUAUAAUUCUGCAGAGUCACAUUCAUAUGUAAUGAGUAAUGACCCUACUUGUCAUUUGACAUAUUUUCAAUGUAACUUGCAAACUGCCAAUUCAUUUCAAACCAGCUUGGUCUGUGUGUGACUGGGUGAGAAUAUGUUUCGAGUACAUUGCGACACAUUAUCAAUAUUGUAAAUGCAUUUUCAACCAAUUUGAGAUGUGUACAUUUCCAGUAGGAAAUUGACAUGAGGUAGUGAACAAACUGUGUCCAGAGUCAGAAAGACAUGCAUGGCGAGAGUUGUCUGAUAUGUAGGCAAUUGCCAUCCACCCACCCACCGUCUCUGUGGACUUAGCGUUGUGUACUUAUCGUUAAGUGUAUUACUGCCAUGGUUAUUAUUUAAAUCGACAGUGCACAUUAGUGAGAUUAGCUGAGCUUUUCUCAGUGAUAGCUGUCAACUGCCACACAGCUGCACUGGUGUGGAUUAAACCCUGGAAUAAAGUGGUCAACUCUGCGUUAUAGAGGGGAAGUUGUUGUGUAAUGUUGUUCAGUACAACAUGCUAUCUUUCUGUGAAGACCAACUGGUACACACCACCAUUAUUCACCGGAGAACUGGUGUGAAAAAUGAGGGUCAAUUUGACCAACAGCUACCCGUCCAAAAGUGGGUCCAUUACAUUGAUUUAAUGGAUUGCCUGUUGAGAGAUUGGAAGAGCUUUGAGACCCACAAAGACCUCCUUAUGAAGUAAUUCACAGCAAGCCCUACAAAACAGGCUAUGAAAUGACAUCAUCCAGUAUGUUAUUUUAUUUUUUGGUUUAACCUUUAUUUUAAUAGGGAAAACGUAUUGAGACCUAGGUCUUGGAGUGAAACAUUUUGUGUCCUCUGUCUCUACAUGUAGCGUGUUGUUUCCUGAUUAUUGUGUUCUGGGACUUUGCUCUCAGGGAGGGGACUGCUAGAAGAAGAGCAGAAAGAAGGGAACACAUUGCUACUUUGGCACAACGUCUAGAAACUACGCGUGCAAGGUCAUUAUCAGCUUACUGCACCCUGAGAGCAGAGACGCCUAGUUUGUGCACGAGUAUAAAGAGUGCUGAAGGGGAAGCACCCAUUCAGAGCUUCUGACAGAGAUUGUUGUAACCUCUCCGGCCGAUAUCAAUAAAGAUCUGUUCAUUUAACUUUGACUUGGAGUCCUUAGGUGUUAAUUUCCACGACAGUCUCUUUUCCAAAUGCUACGAUGAUACGGUAUAUGGUAAGCACAAAUAAAACAUCACAAAUCAGUUACAUUUUAUAAGUCCCCAAUCAAUACUUUAAACUGUCCGAAUGGCAACAGAACAUAAAGAUGAAAUGUAUUUUGAAUUUUGUUCCAGCAAUAAUGUCACGUUCUGACCUUAGUUCCUUUGUUAUGUCUAUGUUUUAGUUUGGUCAGGGUGAGUUGGGGUGGGUAGUCUGUUGUGUUUAUGUGUUUGGCCUGGUAUGGUUCUCAAUCAGAGACAGGUGUCGUCCGUUGUCUCUGAUUGAGAAUAAUACUUAGGUAGCCUGUUUUCCCCCAUUUUAGUUGUGGGUGAUUAUUUUCUGUUUAGUUUUUUUCUUCACCUUACAGAACUGUUUCGGUUUCGUUUUAUUCUCUUUGUUAUUGUGUUUAG